UGAUUAUCAGGGUUACACAGGUGACAAGGAGAGCCUGGGAAAGUGUGAACAGUAUUUUAUGGAGUUGAUGAAAGUUCCUAGAGUGGAAUCAAAAUUGCGAGUGUUCUCUUUCAAGAUUCAGUUCAACUGUCAGAUUUCAGAAUUUAAAAAGAGUUUGAACACUGUGAACUCUGCAUGUGAAGAGGUAAGCAGCUCCUGAUGAUGAAUUUUUUCUU